UACAGAGGGUGCAAGCGUUGUUCGGAAUUAUUGGGCGUAAAGGGCGCGUAGGCGGUGCGGUAAGUCUGUAGUGAAAUCUCUGGGCUCAACUCAGAGUCUGCUAUAGAAACUGCCGUGCUUGAGUGUGGGAGAGGUGAGUGGAAUUCCCGGUGUAGCGGUGAAAUGCGUAGAUAUCAAGCGGAACACCGGUGGCGAAGGCGGCCUUCUGGACAGUGACUGACGCUGAGACGCGAAAGCGUGGGGAGCAAACAGG
rnacentral:rRNA from 1 species